AUUACAGGUAUGAGCCACCACGCCUGGCCCCUUCACUCUUUUUAACAACAUAUUUUUAAUUUCUUGCAUUGAAAUCAUAAUUUGACACUAUUUUUUGUUGUUGUUUUUUACUUGUCUCUUUUAACUGGACUGUAAGCCAACAAUAGAAGGAAACUUUUGUGUUUCACUCACUACUGUGUCCCCAGUGCCUAGAACAGGGCUUGUACAUAGGAAGCAGGAAAUAAACUUUUUUUAAAAGAAAUGAAUGGGGAGCUGAUUUUUCAUGCCCUUGAGAAGCCAAGAUCUCGAGGCAGGCAUAUGUGGGGGUGUCAAAAGCAGGUCAGGAGGUCGUCUCAUUUCCUUGUACUUUCAUUGCAUCAAGGUGCUAACACUGCUUCUCAGGUACCAUUUGUUAACUGAACCAUCAAUGCUUAGGAAGUAGAAAGGAAGAAAUGAAAUAAUUAUGUUUCAGAUUGAGCCCUUUUCCUGGAAACUUGGAAGAGUGUUCCAUACCAUCCAGUCUUUCUGUCACUUUUACCUAUUUCAGGUGUGUCCAGUCUCAGCUGGGAAUGGAAGAUGCUUUGCAUAUCUUUAAAAUCUUCGGGCCAUAGAGUUGGGGAGAGUACAGAAAGAAUACCACAGAACUUUUAUGCCAGAAAAUGGCAGGUGCUCCAAGG
rnacentral:lncRNA from 1 species